UGGGGAAUUUUGGACAAUGGGGGCAACCCUGAUCCAGCCAUUCCGCGUGAGUGAAGAAGGCCUUCGGGUUGUAAAGCUCUUUCGGCAGGAACGAAACGGCGAGCUCUAACAUAGCUUGCUAAUGACGGUACCUGAAGAAGAAGCACCGGCUAACUACGUGCCAGCAGCCGCGGUAAUACGUAGGGUGCAAGCGUUAAUUGGAAUUACUGGGCGUAAAGCGUGCGCAGGCGGUUAUGUAAGACAGAUGUGAAAUCCCCGGGCUUAACCUGGGAACUGCGCUUGUGACUGCACGGCUAGAGUAUGGCAGAGGGGGGUGGAAUUCCACGUGUAGCAGUGAAAUGCGUAGAGAUGUGGAGGAACACCGAUGGCGAAGGCAGCCCCCUGGGCCAAUACUGACGCUCAUGCACGAAAGCGUGGGGAGCAAACA
rnacentral:rRNA from 1 species